rnacentral:rRNA from 1 species
UACGUAGGGGGCAAGCGUUGUCCGGAAUUACUGGGCGUAAAGGGUGCGUAGGCGGCUUUCUAAGUUGGAUGUGAAAACUCUGGGCUCAACCCAGAGCCUGCAUCCAAAACUGGAGAGCUAGGGUUCUGGAGGGGAAAGCGGAAUUCCUGGUGUAGCGGUGAAAUGCGUAGAUAUCAGGAGGAACACCGGUGGCGAAGGCGGCUUUCUGGACAGAUACCGACGCUGAGGCACGAAAGCUAGGGGAGCAAACAGG